ensembl:miRNA Mir678 microRNA 678
GUGGACUGUGGCUUGCCGAGCCGUGCUCCGGUAUGAGAGAUGGCCGAGCACCCGUGUCUCGGGGCAAGGACUGGAGGUGGCAG